GACGAACGCUGGCGGCGUGCUUAACACAUGCAAGUCGAACGGACAGGCCCUGCUCUUGUGGGGUGCUCGAGUGGCGAACGGGUGAGUAACACGUGAGUAACCUGCCCUUGACUUUGGGAUAACUUCAGGAAACUGGGGCUAAUACCGGAUAGGAGCUCCUGCUGCAUGGUGGGGGUUGGAAAGUUUCGGCGGUUGGGGAUGGACUCGCGGCUUAUCAGCUUGUUGGUGGGGUAGUGGCUUACCAAGGCUUUGACGGGUAGCCGGCCUGAGAGGGGGACCGGCCACAUGGGGACUGAGAUACGGACCAGACUCCUACGGGAGGCAGCAGUGGGGAAUAUUGCACAAUGGGCGGAAGCCUGAUGCAGCAAUGCCGCGUGCGGGAUGACGGCCUUCGGGUUGUAAACCGCUUUCGCCUGUGACGAAGCGUGAGUGACGGUAAUGGGUAAAGAAGCACCGGCUAACUACGUG
rnacentral:rRNA from 1 species